CUUGCGGUUCUGCAGAAAACAAUUUUGCAAACCGCUGGCCUUGAGGUGUUUUGAGCUUUGGCCUGAAGAAGGCCUGGCUGGAAUCCUGAGGCUACUGCUCACCUCCCUGGAGGCAAACCCCUGGGAAUUCCAGUCCUCCCUCUCCCCAGUUGAAGAUGCAGAUCAGGAUGUUUCCCUGACAGGGUGCUGCUGCAGGAACACUCAGUAAGGCAAGACUGUCAACUCGCAUGGCGCUCUUCCUCAAGCCCAUGGACAUCCCUGCAGGGCCGCAGCUGUUCAGUGGCGGAGCAGGUGGUGCUUACAUCCAACCAGUCCAAGGCCAAGUCGAAGACUCACCACCACCAUCCCAUGCUCUUUCCAAAAGAACAAAACGAAACAAGACGACGACGACAGCAACAACAACAGGAAGACAUUUUCAUCCUUGGGCAUGGGAGAACACAAUACUCUUCUUUUUUUUGUUUAUUUUUUUCCCCAUUAAGUUUAUUGGUACAUUUUAGGUAUAAAAUACAGUUACAUUCAUCAUUAGGAUCUUGUACCAUUACAUGAGUAUCUUGGUUCUUUUUUUUUUUUCCCCUUCCCCUGCCCUCCCUUCACCCCCUCCACCCUUCCCUAUUUGCAAAGACUUUGUUUCCAUAUUUUUUCUUUUCUCAUAUUUUUUCUUUUCCCUUCUUUCCUUUCCCCUACCCCUCCCACUUCCUCUGUUCCUUUAGACCUUUACUUCCUAUUAUACAAUAUCAAUUAUACAUUUUAAAAAUUAAAAUAUCAAGUCAAAGGAG
rnacentral:lncRNA from 1 species